GUGCUCGCUUCAGCAGCACAUAUACUACAAUUGGAAUGAUACAGAAAAGAUUAGCAUGGCCCCUGUGCAAGGAUGACACGCAAAUUCGUGAAGCGUUCCAUAUUU
rnacentral:snRNA from 1 species